AAGACCAUAAGGCUUUGCCUUGCGCUGAGCUGCCGACUCUGGUUGGCGGCUUCAAACAGAUUGGCGUCUGAAGUUUAGCCCAAGCACAGCACAAUGUGACCAAGGCGGCGACGGAUUGCCUGUUUUUUACACA
rnacentral:misc_RNA from 1 species